GAUGAACGCUGGCGGCGUGCCUAAUACAUGCAAGUCGAGCGAACAGAUAAGGAGCUUGCUCCUUUGACGUUAGCGGCGGACGGGUGAGUAACACGUGGGUAACCUACCUAUAAGACUGGGAUAACUUCGGGAAACCGGAGCUAAUACCGGAUAACAUUUGGAACCGCAUGGUUCUAAAGUGAAAGAUGGUUUUGCUAUCACUUAUAGAUGGACCCGCGCCGUAUUAGCUAGUUGGUAAGGUAACGGCUUACCAAGGCGACGAUACGUAGCCGACCUGAGAGGGUGAUCGGCCACACUGGAACUGAGACACGGUCCAGACUCCUACGGGAGGCAGCAGUAGGGAAUCUUCCGCAAAGGGCGAAAGCCUGACGGAGCAACGCCGCGUGAGUGAUGAAGGGUUUCGGCUCGUAAAACUCUGUUAUUAGGGAAGAACAAAUGUGUAAGUAACUGUGCACGUCCUGACGGUACCUAAUCAGAAAGCCACGGCUAACUACGUG
rnacentral:rRNA from 1 species